UGGGGAAUAUUGCACAAUGGAGGGAACUCUGAUGCAGCGACGCCGCGUGAGUGAUGAAGGAAUUCGUUUCGUAAAACUCUGUUCUAUGGGAAGAAAAGGACUGUACCAUAGGAGAAAGCUCCGGCUAAAUACGUGCCAGCAGCCGCGGUAAUACGUAUGGAGCGAGCGUUCUCCGGAAUUAUUGGGCGUAAAGGGUGCGCAGGCGGCUUUACAAGUUGGAUGUGAAAUAUUGUGGCUCAACCACAAACGUGCAUCCAAAACUGCAAAGCUUGAGUUAAGGAGAGGUAAGUGGAAUUCCUGGUGUAGCGGUGGAAUGCGUAGAUAUCAGGAGGAAUACCGGUGGCGAAGGCGACUUACUGGACUUAAACUGACGCUCAGGCACGAAAGCGUGGGGAGCAAACAGG
rnacentral:rRNA from 1 species